GCUAAACGCGAAGAACCUUACCAGCUUUUGACAUGUCCGGUAUGAUUUCCGGAGACGGAUUCCUUCACUUCGGUGACCUGUACACAGGUACUGCAUGGCUGUCGUCAGCUCGUGUCGUGAGAUGUUGGGUUAAGUCCCGCAACGAGCGCAACCCUCGCCCUUAGUUGCCAUCAUUUAGUUGGGCACUCUAAGGGGACUGCCGGUGAUAAGCCGGAGGAAGGUGGGGAUGACGUCAAGUCUUCAUGGCCCUUACGGGCUGGGCUACACACGUGCUACAAUGGCGGUGACAGAGGGCUGCUAGGCCGCGAGGCCAUGCUAAUCCCUAAAAGCCGUCUCAGUUCGGAUUGCACUCUGCAACUCGAGUGCAUGAAGUCGGAAUCGCUAGUAAUCGCAGAUCAGCACGCUGCGGUGAAUACGUUCCCGGGUCUUGUACACACCG
rnacentral:rRNA from 1 species